ACAACAUUCUUACCGUCGGUCUACCGAGCAAUAUCACCUGGCGGCGGAAGAUCUUCCCUUUGUCGU
rnacentral:pre_miRNA from 1 species